UGGCUGCAUUCCUCGAGUAAGGAGCCACCCUCUGCCGAGCGUUUGGAGUAAUGAUCUGCCAGCUGCAGGCUGGGGACAGGCCAGGCUCAGGUUCGGGGGACAGUGCCGCAGGCCGUGAGUAAUCAGGAAGAGGCAGGGAUGAAGAGGAACAAGGGGACUUCCAGGGAGUCAUGCAAUGAAUCCAGAAGAUGCCAGAGCUGGUGGCUGAUCCUGGACUUGUCCACUGCCAGCAUUCUGGGAAGGAUGGGCACUUUCUCUUCCUGGCAUAUCUUGAUCAUCAUCUUUAAACUCCUACACUGUCCAAGGCUGCCCAGGGCCAGUUGUGGCCCCUUAGAGCUUCAAAAGGCUGGGUUUUAUAAGAGCUUGAUGGAUUGACUACAUUUAAAAAUCAAGAGGUUCACACUAGUGGCCAAAUGGCCCGGGCUCAGGCUGGUCUGGAAGCUGUGAUUCUCCUGCCUCAGCCUCGUAGAGGGCUGGGAUGAUGGGCGUACACCAGGAUGCUUGGACUCCAUGUGGUGAAGCAGUUUUGAAGUUUUCAUGGCUCGGUCGGAUUGCUGGUCUCCACGUGUUAUACCAAACGGGCUGAGAGGAUGGGAGCUGCCUGUGCAAAAGACUUAGACUCUCUCCAGGGACGUUUGGCUUUUCAGUCAUUUUGCCUAGGCUAAAGUUGUGGGCUCACAGAAACAGUGACGGAGGUAAGUGCACAGUACGGGAAAGAGGUGCAGAUAGGUAAGUAAAAUAAAGGGUGAAUUAAAGUAAAAUAAAGGUGGGGUUCUGACUCACAGUCUGCCAUGAGAUGCAGCUUGUUCCUUGCCACUUACUGUUAGAGUUUUGCCCUCAUCUGAAAACAACGGAUCCACUGUGCUCUCUGUGCAUUGAAACCUCUCUGUCAGUGUUCAUCUGUAUUUGCAGCUGCUCCCCAGUGGUACCAUCACUGCCUCAGCUCCACUUCAGAUCAUCGGGCAUUAGAUUCUCACAAGGAGCAGGCGAUCUAGAUUCCCUGAGGGCACAGCCUAAUAGGUUCAAGCUCCUAUGAGAAUCUACGCUGCUGUGAGGCGGAGACGUAAGUGCGCUUAGAAGUGGCCAUGAUUACAGAUGAAGCUUUGCUCACCUGUCUACCACUCACCUGCUGCUACGUGGCCUUGGUUCCUAACAGGCCACAGAUCAGUACACGGCUGGGACACCUGCCCUACAGGAUGGUGACCCAUGAACACUGAGGUUGAUUUUUCCAACAAGAGAGUCUGCUGUUUUUUGGAAACCACCUGAAACUCCUCCUUAGCUGGGUCAGAGUUUGGGUCAGUGGUAUAGCGGGGUUGUCCCAAGGUCUUCAAGGUACAUGAGCCCUGCUUCUCAGAGGGCAAUCCUAGAACAUUCUCCUGAAGACUUGCCUGGCUCACAGUGACAGACUCUUCUCUGAGACACACCUAGGACCCUGCAUGGUGAUGACUUGCCCUGAUGAGUCUGCCACAUGCUGGAAUUUGAGUCAGUUUCUGUUCCUGUCUAUCCUAGAUUUGCUAGGCUCCUACCUAAACACCAAGAUCCUGUUCAGUGAUGAAAAGACAAAGCUUACAUGUGACAACUUGGGAGGCACUGAGGGACUUUGGGGGAUUGAGAAAGCAAACCUCAAGGGUCCCACCCUGUCUGAUGCCUCCCACAUCUCAGAAAUGUCACAAUGAGGGAGGUGAAUUGCAGGUCACUGACCACCUAGGCUUGGGUGGGGUCAAGGCAGGCAGAGCCAGCUGUGCCAACACAAGGGAACCCGUGGUUUCUUUGCUGUGCUGGGGUGGGGGACCCCUACCCUCCACAUGUGAUGAAACUGCACCAACGUGGGCAUGCAUAUGCCCAGCCGUGACACGCCUGUGGUGCCACAUCCAUUCCGCGGUCUGGGAUUGCACUAUGGCUACGCAGGCUGUCACACUUUGCGGAAAUGGAGCACAGGGCACAGGGAUUGCUCUGCAUUAUCUCUCAGGACUGCACACUCCUGCGUCUCCAUCAUCUUCAAAUAAAAGGUUAAAAAAUGAAUCUUAACUAAAAUACGUGAACUUAGCCAAAGAACUUAUUAAGUAAUUAAUUAUAGGGAGACUUGGGGAAAAGAUAAUAUUGUUCUGGCUUUUCACACACAUGUGUCUUUCGGUCUUCUUGUGACCUGUUCUUUCUGGGGUGUAGAUUUGCAGAAACGGAAUUACUAAGUUAAAGAUGGAUAAUGUUUGAUGCUCCUCAUAUAAACUACAAAGCUGUUUCCGGGGAAUCUGCAUGUUUUACGCACCCAUCUGAGGUUCCUUUUUGUGUCCAUAGUAGGGAGUCGUCGCAUUCAAUGCAGAAAACAAAAACAGAAAUUGCUCUCUCCUUUCGUCUGUUUAAGUCCAAUACAUAUAUUUUUGGUGUUGAGGAUGGAGCCCAGCCCUCAAGGCUGCUCCGUCACCCCGUACCACUAACCUGCACCCCAGCCUGGGGCCUGCCCUUCUAUUUUCAAAUGUGACACUUUUACAUAAGCUGUGUAUGGCCGUCAUGCAUAGGCUGUGCCUUUUCGCCCACCCGUGUUCCCUUUGUGGUAUUUUUACUGCUGAUUUUUGAAUUAGCUCCCCAUCCCCUCUCGGUAAUGGCUGAUAGGUGUCCACACCCUUUUCUGAGGCUCCCUUUGUAAACAAGCUUACCAUCUGAUGACUAAUUGUCCCCUUUCCCCAGGGCGCGAUGUUCCCUUCACCACCAUCCUCCUUCUCACACAGUUUGACAUUUCUCUGGGCCUCUUUAGUCUGCUCCAUCGAUCUGUUUGCAGAUUCUUCCGCAAUAAAACACUUAAUUGUUGGAACUUUAGAAUAUACUUUAAAAUGUGGCACAAGAAGUCCCCUCGCUUCAAAAAAUGCCUCCAAUGUUUCUCACUUGCUUCUUUUUUUUCAAAGUUUUGAGUUAUUUUGUGAAUAUUUGUUUCAUUAAAAUAUUCCACUGGUAUUUGACAGAGGUUGUGUUAACGGUUUAAUUGGAAAGCGACGAACAUUUAUUCAUUUAUUCAUUUAUUUGUCCCUAUUUAUGAGGCCCUUGGCAACUUUGCAAUAUACUUGCAAUUUCUUUUUUGCCAUUUAUUAACAUAUUACUUUAUAUAUAAACUUUUGUCAGUUUUUUGAUUGCAUAAUUAUUCGUGGCUAUUUUAUACUUUAAGAGUCGAUUGUGGAGAAGUCCUUUCACUACAGGCCUUUGAAAUAAUGAUUGCUGGUGCCGGGUGAUCUUUUUGACGUAUCUCUGUUUCUCUUGGACUUAGUUAGCUCCCUGAUUUGAACAAGGUUUGGGUCAACUUUCUUGAGACUUAAAAAUCUACGCUGGUGUUGUCUGUGAAUAAUACUUUAGCUCUUUUCCUGGAACUGGCCUAGUUCAUGUCCCCAUA